AUGCAGCGACGCCGCGUGCGGGAUGAAGGCCUUCGGGUUGUAAACCGCUUUCAGCAGGGACGAGGCGAAAGUGACGGUACCUGCAGAAGAAGCCCCGGCUAACUACGUGCCAGCAGCCGCGGUAAUACGUAGGGGGCAAGCGUUAUCCGGAUUCAUUGGGCGUAAAGCGCGCGUAGGCUGCCCAGUAGGUCGAGAGUUAAAUCCGGGGGCUCAACCCCCGUCCGCUCCCGAUACCGCUGGGAUUCGAGUCUGGUAGGGGAAGGUGGAAUUCCCAGUGUAGCGGUGGAAUGCGCAGAUAUUGGGAAGAACACCGGUGGCGAAGGCGGCCUUCUGGGCCAUGACUGACGCUGAGGCGCGAAAGCUAGGGGAGCGAACAGGAUUAGAUACCCUGGUAGUCCUAGCCGUAAACGAUGGGCACUAGGUGUGGGGAGGCUUACUUUCCGUGCCACGCUAC
rnacentral:rRNA from 1 species